ensembl:lncRNA
AUAUAUAUAUAUAUAUAUAAAAAUUCAGUUAAGUACAGAAUACUAACAGACUUCAACUUAAUAUCUAUAGAAUUUAAGAAGAAGAGGGAGACUCACAUGUAGUUCUGAUUGUAAUGGGGCAAUUCUGUCCAGAGAGGGUCAGGGGACUGGCAUCAUUUCCUCUGGGGAAAAACAAGGCUGUUCUGGUCUAAAUCAGAUACGAAGUUUAGCUACAAAGUCCGUGUCCAUAAUAAAAAUUUAAAAACUCAACACAGACCUCCAUAAGUACAGUAUGUAUAGAUGCUGCUGCUCUUUUAUACUCAAAUACAGGGGGGUAAAAAAGAGUGGGGAUAUAGCAGUGACAACAACAUGCAUUUACGUAUAGAUGCUGGAGCUCUUUGGGGUUAUAACAGGGUCACUAAGGGAUUGAGUGUCAGUACCCCGCGUCAACGGGAGCCUCCAGGCGAUCGACCCAUGUUGUCUGGGUGCAGACGAUAAAUCGCGAUCAGAGUGGGAUCACAGAUCCUAGAGCGGGGCGGACAUGAGCGGCGCUCCACCCCAUAUCCCACAAGGUACUGGGAACCCCGACCGCGACGACGAACAUCCAAAAUUCUGUUGACGGUAUGAGCUGGACCUCAAUCAAUGAUAAUGCUCUGGAUCUCAAAUGGACCCAGGAAUCGGGAGGACAACUUCUGGGAUUCGGUCCUCAACGGGAUGUCUUUGUCAGAGAGCCACACCCUCUCUGGUAGCUUGGAGCAGGAAUGCGGCGGCGAUCUGCCAGGCCCUUCUGUUCUGUUCAGCCGUUCGGAGAAGAGCGGCCCGGGUCUCCUUCCACACCCUUUUACAGUGACGGAACUGAGGAGACCGCUAUCUCCACCUCCUGGGCGGCGAACAGAGGUGGCGUUCGUGAGUUCCUGGUCCUGGGCCGAGUCUGCGUUUUUUCCGUGUCUGCGUCCCCCCCCGACUGCCAUUUUGGGAUUUUGGAUUCGUUAAAGUUACCCUUUGUUUGUCAAAACUCUGCGUCUGAGCCCUGCUUCCUGCCACGCCACAUCUGACACUAUGAUGUCUGCUGUCUCCUGACCUGUAGGGAGCUGAGCUGCCUUGGGGAAGUGGUCCACCACUGUGACAAUGAGUGUUCCUUUGCGAGUGUUACGUUCCCCGUGCACUGCAGGAGUGUUGUUUAUUGUUUGAUUACACUUUGAUUGGUUUCCUGUGAAUUGCCCCUCCUCUAGGUCGCUGUGACUGGCGGAUCGGUCGUCAGUGGGGCGGAGGACGAGGGCCAAUCAGGAGACGGAGCCGCUGCUUAAGAGGGACGGCGGGCUCAUUCUCUGAAACCCCUCUCAGUAUUGCUGACGCUCAGGGCCGCCGAUUGUGGGCUGCUCUCCGGCACCCAGAUUGUUGUGCAUUUCAGACUGUUUUGGAUAAGUGUUUUCGUGUCAUCAGCGGCAUCAGCUGCAAAACCGCGCCGGGGGGGAAGAACGGUAGGUUAGUAUAUCGCGAUAUACAUCCUGCCCGUAGUUGUCCUGUGUAUAGACACCCUAGGGUAGAGGUGGCGCGCGUCUAAAGGUCCGCUUAGCGCGAAUGCAGGUAGAGGCACGCGAACGGGCAGAAAGCCGUCGGCUUGAGGCAGAUCUGAAGUUCCGACUUGAAAUCCGUCGACUUGAAAUCGAGGCGGAAACGCAGAUUAAGCUGCGGGCAUUGGAAAUAAGGGCAGCGGACAGAACACCGGUUCCGGGUACACAACCGUCGCAGUCUGCCGAUGCU